rnacentral:rRNA from 1 species
GCCCUUAUUACCGNGGAUGCUGGCACGGAGUUAGCCGGGGCUUCUUCUGCUGGUACCGUCAUUAUCUUCCCAGCUGAAAGGACUUUACAACCCUAAGGCCUUCAUCGUCCACGCGGCAUGGCUAGAUCAGGGUUUCCCCCAUUGUCUAAGAUUCCCCACUGCUGCCUCCCGUAGGAGUCUGGGCCGUGUCUCAGUCCCAGUGUGGCUGAUCAUCCUCUCAAACCAGCUAUGGAUCGUAGGCUUGGUAGGCCAUUACCCCACCAACUACCUAAUCCAACGCGGGCUAAUCCUUUGGCGAUAAAUCUUUCCCCCGAAGGGCACAUACGGUAUUACUCUCCGUUUCCAGAGGCUAUUCCGUACCAAAGGGCAUAUCCCACGCGUUACUCACCCGUCCGCCGCUAACCCGAAGGUUCGCUCGACUUGCAUGUGUUAGGCCAAGGGC